rnacentral:rRNA from 1 species
GACGAACGCUGGCGGCGUGCUUAACACAUGCAAGUCGAACGAAGUGGCGAACGGGUGAGUAAUACGUGAGUAACCUGCCCUCCUUUUUGGGAUAAGCCUUGGAAACGAUAGCUAAUACCGCAUACUAGUAGAUGGACCUGCGUUGUAUUAGCUAGUAGGUAGGGUAAUGGCCUACCUAGGCAACGAUACAUAGCCGACCUGAGAGGCUGAUCAGUCACACUGGAACUGAGAAACGGUCCAGACGACUACGGGAGGCAGCAGGGGGGGAUAUUGCACAAUGGGCGAAAGCCUGAUGCAGCGACGCCGCGUGGGGGAUGAAGGCUUUCGGGUUGUAAACCUCUUUCGCUAUCGAACGGGUAGGUGGAGAAGAAGCGCCGGCUAACUACGUGCCAGCAGCCGCGGUAAUUC